rnacentral:rRNA from 1 species
CUGGGAUUAGAUACCCCACUAUGCUUAGCCCUAAAUACAGAUAAAAUUACACUUUACUUUAUCCGCCCGGGUACUACGAGCAUUAGCUUGAAACCCAAAGGACUUGGCGGUGCUUUAGACCCAUCUAGAGGAGCCUGUUCUAUAACCGAUAUUCCCCGUUGAACCUCACCCUUCCUUGCUCUUACCGCCUAUAUACCGCCGUCGUAAGCUUACCCUGUGAAGGAUAAACAGUAAGCUUAAUUGGUACAGCCCAAAACGUCAGGUCGAGGUGUAGCUUAUGGAGGGGGAAGAAAUGGGCUACAUUCCCUAAUAUAGGGCACACGGAUAAUGCACUGAAACGUGCGUAAGAAGGUGGAUUUAGUAGUAAGCAGAGGAUAGAGUUUUCUGCUGAAACCGGCCCUGAAGCGUGCACACACCGCCCGUC